CUACGAUGUUAAGCUAUCGCCUGUAUGAUCUUCAUACAGGAGGAAAGUCCGGACAGCAUAGAGCAGCGUACCACCUAACGGGUGGGGUCCUGGUUUCAGGGCACAGAAAGUGCCACAGAAAAUAACCGCCACAGCUUGCUGUGGUAAGGGUGAAAAUGUAGGGUAAGAGCCUACGCAUUACCAUGGCAACAUGGUUUUGGGGUAAACCUUACGCGCUGAAAUGCCAAAUAGGCGAAUGCUUGAGGGUUGCUCGCCCGAUGUUCGUGGGUUGGCAGAUAGAGACACAACGCGAGUUGUGUCCCAGACAAAUGAUAGCAACUCCGGGGCCAUACGGAGUUACAGAAUCCGGCUUAUUAUGCUGAGUAGUUGU
rnacentral:RNase_P_RNA from 1 species